rnacentral:rRNA from 1 species
UACGUAGGGUCCGAGCGUUUGUCCGGAAUUACUGGGCGUAAAGAGCUCGUAGGUGGUUUGUCGCGUUGUUCGUGAAAACUCACAGCUCAACUGUGGGCGUGCGGGCGAUACGGGCAGACUGGAGUACUGCAGGGGAGACUGGAAUUCCUGGUGUAGCGGUGAAAUGCGCAGAUAUCAGGAGGAACACCGGUGGCGAAGGCGGGUCUCUGGGGCAA